GCUGGCGGUAUGCCUAACACAUGCAAGUCGUACGAGAGUUUUUAACUCUAGUGGCGGACGGGUGAGUAACACGUGAGAAUUUGCCUUUAGGAGGGGGAUAACAAUCGGAAACGAAUGCUAAUACCCCAUAUGCUUUCGAGUGAAAUGGAUUUAUAUUUAUCCGCCUAGAGAGAAGCUCGCGGCUGAUUAGCUUGUUGGUAAGGUAAGAGCUUACCAAGGCGACGAUCAGUAUCUGGUUUGAGAGGACGAUCAGACACACUGGAACUGAGACACGGUCCAGACUCCUACGGGAGGCAGCAGUGGGGAAUUUUCCGCAAUGGGCGAAAGCCUGACGGAGCAAUACCGCGUGAGGGAAGACUGCCUAUGGGUUGUAAACCUCUUUUUUCAGGGAGGAAUCAAUGACGUGUACCUGAAGAAUAAGCAUCGGCUAACUCCGUGCCAGCAGCCGCGGUAAGACGGAGGAUGCAAGUGUUAUCCGGAAUCACUGGGCGUAAAGCGUCUGUAGGUGGUUUAAUAAGUCAACUGUUAAAUCUUGAGGCUCAACUUCAAAAUCGCAGUCGAAACUAUUAGACUAGAGUAUAGUA
rnacentral:rRNA from 1 species